rnacentral:tRNA from 1 species
GCCCAGAUAGCUCAGUCGGUAGAGCAGGGGACUGAAACUCCCCGUGUCGGUGGUUCGAUUCCGCCUCUGGGCACCA